CGAUGACAUGCAGAGGGCGUGGCGGGGCGACCUACCAGAUCCCUAUUGCUCCCCUUCCGCCUGAUCAUGAGUUGGUCGGUUUCUACGACCUGCCUCCGGCCUCUUCUGAGUACACUCGCCAGUCCUUGGAGCUGACCGCUUCAGUGAUGGGGAUGCUCCAGCAGAGUCUCGACCUUCUAUCCAUUUAUAGCAUUCCACAUCCCUUCCAGAUCCCUGCCGUAGGAGGUGCCCCAGCUGGACCUUCUGCUCCUACCGGAGGAGAUGGGAGAGUAUACCCCCGCACCAAGGCGGGACGCAUCCAUGUCGGGAGUAGCUCACGGGUGCCAGUUCCAGACGAU